rnacentral:rRNA from 1 species
AUGGAGCUGUUCCCGUCGCACCCGGACCUGCAGCUCCAGCUCCAAAUCAGUCCGCCCCCUGCCACCAAGCCAAUGGACCUAGGGUUUUGGAAGAGGGCUCUCGACACCACCGCCGCCGCCGCCGCCGCCGCGACCACGGCAGCAUCAGCGGGAGCUACCUUCGCACCUCCGUCCAUCGCCAGGACACACCCCUCGGUGCCGGCAGCUGCCGGCGGCGGCUUCCAUGCAGCGCACUACGGCGCAGCCGAUGGCCACCUGGGCGGGCUGCAGUUCUUGCAGCACACCCAACCCAUCCUCCACGAGGUGCAGGACCUGGCAGCGAUGAAGCCCAUCCGGGGCAUCCCCGUGUACAACACCUCGCAGUCGCUCCCCUUCCUCCAGAGCCAGCUCCACCACCACAACUACCACCACCAGCAUUGCUACGACGCGAUCGGCGGCGCGGCAGGCGGGCCGAGGUCGCCCGGCAAGGUCGGCGCGCUGCGGCUGGCGGCGCCGCCGGCCAAGCGGAACUCCCGUGCGCCCAGGAUGCGGUGGACCACGUCGCUGCACGCGCGGUUCGUCCACGCCGUCGAACUGCUCGGAGGCCACGAGAGAGCAACGCCCAAGUCGGUUCUUGAGCUAAUGGACGUGAAGGAUCUAACCUUGGCCCAUGUCAAGUCUCACUUGCAGAUGUACCGGACCAUCAAGACCACUGACCACAAACCAGCUGCUGCCUCAUCCUACGGACAAGCCAAGACAAUCAUCGACAUCCCUGACGACAGCUCCUUCGACAUCGCCAACACCAGCGGGUCUGAGUCUUCAGUCCAGCAAUCAAAUCUUGACGGGAACGAGCAUGGAUCCAACAUGUGCGCUCUAUGGAGCAACAACUCGAGCAGAGGGGCCUGGUCGUUCCACGGGAAAUCAAGAUCAGAUGCCAACCCAGGCGACAUCAAAUCCUUUGAGGACGUGCAAUCGCAGUGCCCCAACGUCGUCGCCGACGAUGCCGCCGACCUGAUGUCGGCUCCGUUCCGAUUGUCGGAGCUGGUCGUCGGCGCCAAGAAACCGAACCUGGACUUCACCCUAGGAAGAAUGUAA